UCAAUAGAUUGGACUAUAUAU
rnacentral:miRNA from 2 species